rnacentral:rRNA from 1 species
UGCGCAGGCGGGCUUGUAAGUCAGUGGUGAAAUCCUGCAGCUUAACUGUAGAACUGUCAUUGAUACUGGUUUUCUUGAAUUUAGUUGAGGUAGGCGGAAUGUGUAAUGUAGCGGUGAAAUGCUUAGAUAUUACACAGAACACCGAUUGCGAAGGCAGCUUACUAAACUAUGAUUGACGCUGAGGUACGAAAGCGUGGGGAGCGAACAGGAUUAGAUACCCUGGUAGUCC